rnacentral:rRNA from 1 species
GAAGAGAAAGAAAAAUCGAUUCCCUGAGUAGCGGCGAGCGAAACGGGAAGAGCCCAAACCAACAAGCUUGCUUGUUGGGGUUGUAGGACACUCUAUACGGAGUUACAAAAGAACAUGUUAGACGAAUCAUCUGGAAAGAUGAAUCAAAGAAGGUAAUAAUCCUGUAGUCGAAAACAUAUUCUCUCUUGAGUGGAUCCUGAGUACGACGGAGCACGUGAAAUUCCGU